AAUGAACGUUGGCGGCGUGGAUUAGGCAUGCAAGUCGAGCGAGAACCCAGCAAUGGGGGACAGCGGCGAAAGGGACAGUAAUGUGUAGAUUAUCUGCCCUCAGGUCCGGGAUAGCUGCGGGAAACUGCAGGUAAUACCGGAUAACAUCUCCGGAUCAAAGGUGUGAUUCCGCCUGAGGAUGAGUCUACAUCCUAUUAGCUAGUUGGCAGGGUAAUGGCCUACCAAGGCUUUGAUGGGUAGCGGGUGUGAGAGCACGACCCGCGUCAUUGGGACUGAGACACUGCCCAGACACCUACGGGUGGCUGCAGUCGAGAAUCUUCGGCAAUGGGCGCAAGCCUGACCGAGCGACGCCGCGUGCGGGAUGAAGGCCUUAGGGUUGUAAAGCUCUUUCAGCUGGGAAGAUAAUGACGGUACCAGCAGAAGAAGCCCCGGCUAACUCCGUGCCAGCCGCCGCCGUAAAAC
rnacentral:rRNA from 1 species